GACAAAAUUAUUUUUAUGUCUACCUGUGGGUAUUUCAAACGCGCAAUUUUACACCAGCAAUGAUAACCUUCUAUCCUUUACGGGUAGACUUUAUAUAGAUAAAUUAAGUGGUAUAAGAAAAGCAAAAUGAGUAUGUUAAAUUUGAUGUUACCAUGUAUGCCUUUUUGUGCUUCUUCGUUACAUUUGUUGUUUUUAUAGUGAUGCAUGUAUGUAUGCCUUCAUACUUUGAACGACAAAAUUAUUUUUAUGUCUACC
rnacentral:lncRNA from 1 species